UGAGGAAUUUUGCGCAAUGGGCGAAAGCCUGACGCAGCAACGCCGCGUGAGUGAAGAAGGCCUUUGGGUCGUAAAGCUCUGUCAUCAGGGAAGAAGUUAAUGUAUUUGAAUAGAGUAUGUUAUUGACGGUACCUGAGAAGGAAGCACCGGCUAACUCCGUGCCAGCAGCCGCGGUAAUACGGGGGGUGCAAGCGUUAUUCGGAAUUAUUGGGCGUAAAGGGCGCGUAGGCGGUUUUAUAAGUCAGAUGUGAAAGCCCCGGGCUUAACCCGGGAAGAGCAUUUGAAACUAUAUAACUUGAGUACGGUAGAGGAAAGCGGAAUUCCUGGUGUAGAGGUGAAAUUCGUAGAUAUCAGGAGGAACACCGGUGGCGAAGGCGGCUUUCUGGACCUGUACUGACGCUGAGGCGCGAAGGCGUGGGUAGCGAACG
rnacentral:rRNA from 1 species